GUGACUCCCUCUCUUCUCAAGUAUAUAAAAGAUCCAUGCUUUUCCAAUUAGCCGGUUUGGUUAGUUUCUCGUUUGAUUCAGGUUUCUCUAGUUUUAGCUUUGGUGGGUUCUAUUGUUCCUUUUCCAUGCUUUUGUUGCUUCGGUUUUGAUGUUUGGAAUAUUUGUGGUUUGUAGGACGUUUCUUGUGGACUUUCCAAACGAAUUUUCAUGGGUUAUUUCUGAAGCCAUCUCCGCGUGGAAAGGUUGCAAUCGUGCCUCACUGAAAUAGGAAAUUAGUCGCAAGUCUCUUCCUCUCUAACACGAACUCCCUCGAAAGCAAGGGAUUUAGGCGAGGUAUGAUCGCCGGUUUGAUGACUUCUGCUUUGAUUUAUAGUUGGAUUUGCUUGAUUUUUAAUUUAUUUAUUUUCAAUAUGAUGAUGGGUUUUAUGUAAUUUAUGGCAUCAACCAGUC
rnacentral:lncRNA from 1 species